UUGAAACAUUGUAAAGGAAAGUUGAGCUGGCUCUUCACGGGCAUGUGCUUGCUUUUCUUUCAAUCUUCAUCCACCUGUGCACUUUUUGUAGAGAGUUUGAGAAAGAGACCGUCAGGUUUCAAGUAUCGGGCUUUCUAUGUAUUUACAAACUCUGAAUGUAUGUCGUUGAAUGUCUUUUACAAGGUACUUAAUUGAACCUUUUAAAAACUAUA
rnacentral:misc_RNA from 1 species